UACGAGUGCCUCAAGCGUUAUCCGGAAUUAUUGGGCGUAAAGGUUGUGUAGGUGGUUGUAUUAGUCUUUUGUUAAAUUCUUCGGCUUAACCGGGGGCAUGCAAGGGAAACGGUACAACUAGAGAUGCGAGGGGUCUGUGGAACUCAUAGUGUAGCGGUGAAAUGCGUUGAUAUUAUGGGGAACACCAAAAGCGAAGGCAGCAGACUGGAGCACUCCUGACACUGAAACAAGAAAGCGUGGGUCGCGAAUGGG
rnacentral:rRNA from 1 species